AUUGAACGCUAGCGGCAGGCCUAACACAUGCAAGUCGAGCGGAGCGGCGGACGGGUGAGUAAGGCCUAGGAAUCUGCCUGGUAGCGGGGGCUAACGUCCGGUAAAGGGAGGUAAUACCGCAUACUAUCAGAUGAGCCUCGGUCGGAUUAGCGAGGUGGUGGGGUAAAGGCCUACAAAGGCGACGAUCCGUAACUGGUGUGAGAGUAUGAUCAGUCACACUGGAACUGAGACACGGUCCAGACUCCUACGGGAGGCAGCAGUGGGGAAUGUGGGACAAUGGGCGAAAGCCUGAUCCAGCCAUGCCGCGUGUGUGAAGAAGGUCUUCGGAUUGUAAAGCACUUUAAGUUGGGAAGCGUUACCAACAGAAUAAGCACCGGCUAACUACGUGCCAGCAGCCGCGGUAAUUC
rnacentral:rRNA from 1 species